CUCUUUUUGAAUUUAAUUUAAAGUUUGGCCUGCCCACUGAAUUAUUGAAGGGCCGCAGUAUUUUGACUGUGCAAAGGUAGCAUAAUCAUUAGUUUUUUAAUUGAAAGCUUGUAUGAAUGGUUUGAUGAGAAAAUUACUGUUUCAAAUUUAAUAAUAGAAUUUUAUUUUUAAGUUAAAAAGCUUAAAUGAAAUUUAAAGACGAGAAGACCCUAUAGAGUUUAACUAAAAUUUAUUUUGUUAAUUUUAGAAUUUUAUUUUAAUAAUUUAACUUAAGUUUUGUUGGGGUGACAGAAAAAUUAAUUAAACUUUUUUUAUAUAAAUACAAUAAUAAUUGAAUUUUUGAUCCAUAUAAAUGAUUAUAAGAUUAAAUUACCUUAGGGAUAACAGCGUAAUCUUUUUAAUAGUUCUUAUUGAAAAAAAGGUUUGCGACCUCGAUGUUGGAUUAAAAUUUAUUUUUGGUGUAGAAGCUAGAAUAUUAGGUCUGUUCGACCUUUGAAAUUUUACAUGAUCUGAGUUUAAACCGGUGUAAGCCAGGUUGGUUUCUAUCUUAAAUAUAAAAAAUAUUUUAGUACGAAAGGAUCAAAUAUUAUAUUAAUAAUAUUAUUUAAGAAUUUUAUUUUGGCAGAUUAGUGCAAAGGAUUUAGAAUCUUUAAAUGUAUAUUAUACAAAUAAAAAUUGAUUUAUUAAUAAUUUUUUUAAAUUUUUUAAUUUUAUUAUUAAGAGUUUUGGUGGGGGUAGCUUUUUUAACUUUAUUAGAGCGAAAGUUAUU
rnacentral:rRNA from 1 species